rnacentral:lncRNA from 1 species
UUUACUUUCCUCCUCAGCUCGCUCGCUGGCUGCCUCCGCUGGUGGGAGCCGCCCCGCUUUGAUGCCUUCGCUGCUGGAAGCUCAGCGGCCUGUGUGACAUCACUCUGGGCACCUCCUCCUCCUGUCGCCUGGCCUGAGUCUCCCUGUGCUCCCCAAACCUCCGGCGCCUUCCCAUGAAGCUGGGCCCUCUGGGACCCUGCCAUCAAGGCCCCAGGGACAUCAGCGCUUUCUGCAGGAUGUCGGGGCAAUAAGCAGUAAGGCUCUUCGGCACUCGCUCUGCUCUGUGAAGAGAGGAUACAGCAGAAACAAUGGUUGGUGAGACACAUUGUUGACUUUUGAAACUAAAAAGCCAAGGACCAGGUAUCAAGACAAGAUAUUCCAGAUGGAUGUAUGAUCAGCCCUAGCCUGCCUCUACUGCCCCUGAGACUACAGAGCGUUUGUUAGACCUGGGGUGAGGAAGGGAGGGGAGAGACAUGG